UCAAACUAAUCAUAUCGUGGCAUAGGGUAGUUCAAGCACUCAUGUAAACAUAUGUAACUUAUUAGAAAAGAUGUAGUUUCAUCCACAUUCACUUAGUUUAUGUCCCCUCUUCACAGUAAAUCCUGAAAUAAAAGGAAAAACACGAAUAUGUGCUGGGAAUUUUACUGGAAGCUCAGCAGCUGGAAUAUAACCACUGAGAUUUUAGAGGAUUUAUUAAUUAGAAUCUAUGAAGACAAGAUUACAAAAA